rnacentral:rRNA from 1 species
UACGUAGGAGACGAGCGUUGUCCGGAAUUACUGGGCGUAAAGCGCGUGUAGGCGGAUGAGCAAGUCUGCUGUGAAAGCGCCUGGCUUAACCGGGCGAGGUCGGUGGAAACUCCUCAGCUCGAGGUCGGUAGAGGGGGGUGGAAUUCCGGGUGUAGUGGUGAAAUGCGUAGAGAUCCGGAGGAACACCUGUGGCGAAGGCGGCCCCCUGGGCCGCACCUGACGCUGAGACGCGAAAGCGCGGGGAGCGAACGGG